rnacentral:rRNA from 1 species
UACGGAGGGUGCAAGCGUUAUCCGGAUUCACUGGGUUUAAAGGGUGCGUAGGCGGACAGGUAAGUCAGUGGUGAAAUCUCCGGGCUUAACUCGGAAACUGCCGUUGAUACUAUCUGUCUUGAAUAUCACGGAGGUAAGCAGAAUAUGUCAUGUAGCGGUGAAAUGCUUAGAUAUGACAUAGAAUACCGAUAGCGAAGGCAGCUUACUACAUGUUAAUUGACGCUGAGGCACGAAAGCGUGGGGAGCAAACAGG